rnacentral:rRNA from 1 species
CGGACGGGUGAGUAACACGUGGAUAACCUACCUAUAAGACUGGGAUAACUUCGGGAAACCGGAGCUAAUACCGGAUAAUAUAUUGAACCGCAUGGUUCAAUAGUGAAAGACGGUUUUGCUGUCACUUAUAGAUGGAUCCGCGCCGCAUUAGCUAGUUGGUAAGGUAACGGCUUACCAAGGCAACGAUGCGUAGCCGACCUGAGAGGGUGAUGGCCACACUGGAACUGAGACACGGUCCAG